AUGGUUAUCCUCUCUGCCUCACAGCAAGCAGACCAGAAAUCAAAUUUUAUCAUCUCUCUCAACAGUCUUUCAAACAUUGUCGUUGCCAACUUGCACCAGUCCAACAGCAGCACAUGGGCAAAUUUCAAAUUUCACUCUCAGGAGGCAGAUUUGUCCUCUCCAAAAAGGCCACACUGCAAUCAAGGGCACUGCCCUUUCCUCACAGGCCCCUUGCAGACCUGUCAGCUUUGGUACCAGCUGCUGGGAUUUGAGUUUAUUGUUCUAAAGGGAAUAACCACGGAAGAGGGAGAUGAGCUUUGCCUUAGUUUAUUUUUUUCUGAUUUUAUUCUGAUUUUCCCCUCAGUUUCUCAUGACACUUGGGCUGGCAGAGCGAGGAGCAGCUGGGGAGAGGCUGAGCAUCAUGUGUGGCAGCUGUUGCUGCUGCUGAGGUGGCUGCAAGGCUGGCUCAGGAGCCAGGCACAGAUCUGUCUCUGCCUUAAAAAGCCUUGCCAGCACGUUAUAGCCAGUUUCACUCUGGAAGGUGCUGAAUUUGAAGCAGCAGACUGAAGGCACCAAGAUAUGAAUUCCCCUAUUUCCAUGCAGUUAUGCACUGGUUGUCAGCAACCUCAAGAAAUGCAAAUCAGGCUGCUUUUAAAAAAUGCUGGUGAACAUCAAGAGGCAAAGGUGCUGUGCUGCCAGCCUAGAACCAUCCCCCAGCUGCUGGAACCCUGGGCACAGAGGAUUUCAUGUUUUCUGUGCUGACAGGCACAGGCCCACAGGAGAAUGCUGUGUUUGAUGUGAGGCCAGGGAAAAGGCUUCCAAAAUUAAUAGAUAGAACUGAAACUGUGAGUGUGUAGUUUAAACAGAAGUGUGUUAUAUCCCUUGGUGGAAAAUUUAAGGUUUUAGAGUAUGGUAAUAAGCAUGCAACAAGAUGGAGGUUUUAGGGCCUUGUUCUUUCACCUUUUUCUUCAUGGAUUUUAGUAAUAUUGUGUGAUUGGGUAGAAAAAUCUACAGUGUGGGACAUGGGUGUUUGGUUAUUGGGUUAUAAGUAAAAAUAAGUUAGUUGGUGUUUUAUAAUUGGGUAGCUGACACUUAAAAAGCCUUGGAAAGAGAUACCUGGGGCUCCAUUAACUCAGUGUACAGAUAAACUCACUGUGGGAAUGUAAUACAGAUAAGAAAAAAUAAACAACUGAGUCUGAACA
rnacentral:lncRNA from 1 species